ensembl:lncRNA
GUCUAGCAUUUUGUUUAUAGACAUUAUAAGGUCUAGCAUUUUGUUUAUAGACAUUAUAAGGUGUAGCAUUUUGUUUAUAGACAUUAUAAGGUCUAGCAUUUUGUUUAUAGACAUUAUAAGGUGUAGUAUUUUAUGUAGCUAAUCUUCUCAUUUCUAGCCGACAGUGCAGUUUAUAAUAUUUCACUUUACUGACUGUUUUUCAGCUGAUGUUCUGUUCUGCAGUAUUUACACACUGUUUAUCUCCCACACAAACACUACACACACUGGAUAUAUUACAUAAACAUAUAUAUAAUUAUAUAAACUUUCGGUUCUCAGUGGCGUGAAUGAAUACUACAGCACUGUGGAAAUACGGGUCGUACCUAAAACAGGUAUUUAUGCUUGUAGUCAUGGUUACAGUCCGACAAAUGUGUAUAACAGAAGCAUCAGUGACGUAGAACCAGGAUUAAACGUGUGACUGGUUGUAAAGUGUCCCACAAGUCUCCAGACAUAGGGGGAAAAUAUCGUCCAAAAUAUUUCGUGCUCAGUUUAUAUUGUAUAUUGUACAGAUGCAUCUCAAAAAAUUAGAAAAUCGUGGAAAUGUUCAAUUUUAUGUGUAAUUUAAUUCAAAAAGUGGAAAUUUCAUAUUUUCCGGGUUCAUUACACACAGUGAAAUAUUUCGAGCCUUGUUUUAUUUUAAUCUCGAUGAUUACGGCUUACAGCGCACGGAAAUCAAACAUCCAGCAUCUGAAAAUAUUAUAAUAGAGAAUUUAUAAUACAGAAACGUCGACCUGAGAAGACUCUGAUCAGCAAAUUAACUUAAAACACCUGCAAAGGUUUCCUGAGUCUUUAAUCUCGCAGUCUGGGUCAGUACACACACAACCACGGGGAAGAUGAAAGUACAUUUGGAAAUCAAGGUUCCGGAGUCUGGAGGAAGAGUGGAGAGGAACAGAAUCCGAGCUGCUUGGAGUCCAGUGUGAAGUUUCCACAGUCGGUGAUGAUUUGAGGUGUCAUGUCAUCUGCUGGUGUCGGUCCAGUGUGUUUUCUCAAGUCAAGAGUUGACGCAGCGUCUACCAGGAGAUUUUAGAUACUUCCAUCUGCUGACGAGUUUUAUGGAGACGCUGAUUUCCUUCUCCAGCAGAACUCUGCACCUGCCCACAGUGCCAAAACCUCUAGUAACCGGUUUACUGACCGUGGUAUUACUGUGCUUUACUGUCCAGCCGCCUCGCCUGACCCGAACCCCAUAGAGAAUCUACGAGAGACACCAGACCCGACGAUACAGACGAGCUGAAGACCGCUAUCAAAGCAACCUGGACCUCCAGAACACCUCAGCAGCGCCACAGGCUGAUCGCCUCCACGCCACGCCGCACUGACGCAGUCAUUCCUGCAGGAGGAUUAAAACCCCGACCGAGUAUCAGCUCAUAAUUUAACACCCUGUUCACAAGGUCCACAUUUCUGUAUUACAAACUCCUUAUUCGGAUAUUCUGAGAUAGCGGAUUUUUUAUUUCCGUGAGCUGUAAUCUGUAAUCAUCGGGAUUAAAAUAAAAAAGACGCUCGAAAUAUUUCACUUUAUGUAAUGAAUCUAGAAAAUAUGAAAGUUCUACUUUUUAAAUUAAAUUACAGAAAAAAAUGAACUUUUCCCACGAUAAUAUUUCCAAGAAGGUCUUUGACCAAAUAAGGAAGAAUUGAAAUCAUUCUAGGGCUGUAUCAGGAAGCUUAGGGUUAGGGUUGUGAUGGACUUUAAGAGGAAACAUGGCGAGCACAUCGUUCACACUCGCGCGCACACACACACACACACACACACACACUCUCACACAGUUACCAGACAUAACACAUUCCAAAAUUUCAGAGAAACCGAGAAGUGAACAAACACAAACAUGUGCUGAUGAAGACAGAACCCGGGUGCUGCUGAACAUCUACUGCACGCAGACGCGCGCACUCUACACCACACUCACCUGCUGACCAAUCAGAAAUCAGGAUCUUCAGCAGUCACGCCACGGACAGACAGACAGAGACGCAGACACACGACUCUGAGAAUUAUAAUGUACAGCAUUUACUGAAACACACUUACCUUCUAAACAAACAAAUACACAAAAAUAAACAAAUACACAAACUGACAAAUCAGAAUAUUAUCAAAUGUUAAAACUCACCGACCCCGUGUUCAUCUCUCGCUCACAUUAACCUUUAUUUAAACAGCCAUAUGCUCUCUAAUGGUACUCUCUGUCCGUGUGUGUGUGUGUGUGUGUGUGUGUGUAGUUGCUCUUACAGCCGUUUAAAUAGUUAUACUGAACUGAAUAAACAGACAGAAGCAACACUCACCCACUCUGGCGCCGUCUUACUCUCAGUGUGUGUAUCCAAACCUCUCUCCCUCUCUCUCUCUCCCCGUCCAUCUGUCUCUCUCUCUGUCUGUCUGUGUUGUGAUAAGUUAUCUAGAUCACACUGCUCCACCCUGUAAUUGUCAUAAUUGCUGUUUUGUCUGAGAGCCAAAAGAAAUCUUCUUUUUACACACACACACACACACACACACACACACACACACACA